GAUGAACGCUGGCGGCGUGCCUAAUACAUGCAAGUCGAGCGAACAGACGAGGAGCUUGCUCCUCUGACGUUAGCGGCGGACGGGAGAGUAACACGUGGAUAACCUACCUAUAAGACUGGGAUAACUUCGGGAAACCGGAGCUAAUACCGGAUAAUAUAUUGAACCGCAUGGUUCAAUAGUGAAAGACGGUUUUGCUGUCACUUAUAGCUGGAUCCGCGCCGCAUUAGCUAGUUGGUAAGGUAACGGCUUACCAAGGCAACGAUGCGUAUCCGACCUGAGAGAGUGAUCGGCCACACUGGAACUGAGACACGGUCCAGACUCCUACGGGAGGCAGCAGUAGGGAAUCUUCCGCAAUGGGCGAAAGCCUGACGGAGCAACGCCGCGUGAGUGAUGAAGGUCUUCGGAUCGUAAAACUCUGUUAUUAGGGAAGAACAAAUGUGUAAGUAACUAUGCACGUCUUGACGGUACCUAAUCAGAAAGCCACGGCUAACUACGUG
rnacentral:rRNA from 1 species